rnacentral:rRNA from 1 species
UAUAGAGAAAGAUUUUAAUGUAUUUAAUAGGAAGUGAAAUUUUGAUUUAUAAGUGUUAUUUAUUUCUUUUUUAUAUGAGUUAGAAGUUAUUAAAGUUUAGGCUUAAAUUAGGAUUAGAUACCCUAUUAUACUAAAUCUGGAUGUGUUUGUAUGCUUGAGUAGUUUUAGUUAUGUUCUUGAAAUUUAAAGAAUUUGGCGGUAUUCAAGUCUGGUUAGAGGAACCUGUCUUUUAAACGAUAUGCCACGUAUUAUCUUACUCUUUCUAGUUUUCAGCUUGUAUACCGCCAUUAUAAUUAGGUAGGGUUUUUAAACAUCUGCUGAAAUAGUUUCUUAGUAAAUUAGGUCAAGGUGCAGCUUAUGAUAGAGCUAACGAUGGGUUACAUUAUGUUUAUAGAUUCGAAUGAAAUUUUGAACAAAGUUUUUGAAGUUGGAUUUAAUUGUAAUUUUAUUUUAAUAUGUUAAGUUGAUACUAGCUCUAGAAUAUGUACAUAUUGCCCGUCGCUCUCAUAA